rnacentral:lncRNA from 1 species
ACUCGGCAGGCCCUGGGCCCACCGGGCGGGCGCCUCUCACCGGGAGCGCUCGCGGCGGCGGCGGCCAGAUUUCCUUCGCGCUCUCGCUCUCCGGGGUUUCCUUUUUUAAACCGGCAGCCGCAAGCCGAGUCCGUGAUUGCGCCCCCUCCCGGCGCAUGCGUCGUCAGCGACCCCGCGGGCUCAGACGGCCGGCGGAGGCUCUGCGCUCGCCCCUCCCCUCACUCUCCCUUUCCCCAGCGCGGCUCGGUGCGCAUGCGACUUGCCCCGUUAGGCAGCACGGAGCCGCGCCAGGGGAUCCCGGACGCCCGAAGAGACUCCCGCGCCCCUUGGGCCGAAAUCUGGCUCUGCAGGCGCACCGUUCCCUGCCCCGGCCGGGAACGGCGCCGGUUACUAGAAAGCCGGGGAGGCGGGGCCUGGUCGGGUGGAGGGCGCGGCCGGCCGGCAGAGCGCUAGCCUUAGGUCCUGGAGGCUCUUUGGCUUUCCCCCCGUAUGCCGGGGGCUAGGAGGAGGAAGAAGAGCUUCCUGCCGGAUGAGGGAUCCAGAGGCCAGAAAAGGAACCCGCUCUCCCUUCCAAAGCAAAACACUGCCGACGCCAGCUUAGAUUUUUCGGGUGUUGGCAGGAGACUUUUUCCCCCAGUGGCAUCAUUCGUGUUUCCUCUCCUGGUGCUGGGAGAGAAGAGUUGCAAAGGCGCCUGGACCGCCAGUAACAUCUUCUCCCAUCUCCUGAGGGAGCGCGGCUUGGGUUGCUUCUUCUUGGUGGGUGGGCCUGGGGAGACAGGGCAUGCGCCCUCGGCCAGAGGAGGGAAGCGAAAGGAGGUCGGGAUUUAUUUGCUCAUUUGGAGAUUUUUCCCUUGCCCUUUUAUUAAAAAUCAAGUGACAGUGUAAUGGAAGAUGGAGAAUGAAGCAUCAGAAAUAAACCAGGACCCUAAUUUGCAUGGAUUUCCUCGUUGGAACAACGUGUGACUACUACUUAUCUUCGGGAAAUUACUUAUCUUGAUGCGUUAAGGCACAUUUGGUCCACAUGAGAAAGCACAUUUCAGUGCUUCUACUGGAAAAGAGAUCUUUACAGUCUUAAUUCCUAGUAAUUCCUAUGUUUUAAUGAAUAUCUUUUGGAUUUGAAAUAAAAGCCAUCUUUUUCUUUCAAAAAAUGCACUUUUCUGGCCGUAAAAUCCUCCCUUUAAAGUAACAGUCACCUCAGUAAACAUUUUCAAUUCUUGCUGUAUGCUCUGGGCAAAAGAACAUCAAACUGAAGCACUUAUUCAGAUCCUUGAUCCUGCACCUAAGGAUUUUUCUUUCAGGAGUGGGAAAACAUGAUUUGUUAAUUUACCCCAUCAUAUAGCAGAAGAUAUUUUGGUCGACAUUUUUGCCUGUUCAGCAUUCAUUCCCUAUUCUGAUAAUUUCUUUUGAAGAACUAUCAUUUAUCCACUCUCAGUCCAUAUGGUCUGAGCAGGACACAAGGGGAAGGCAUAUUUGAGUUUAAUCCUCGGUUGCAAACUACGGUUCCUAAGAAGGGUGUUACGUCUUUACCAAUGGGUUUAAAUCUGGGAGAAUGGAGACCUGGAGCCAUCUUUCCACACGUGAAUUCUGAGAAAGAAGGCAACACGGAAAAAAAGCAGAUUUGAAGACAGGUUUGGCCUAAAGACAUGUUUGAGGCCUGGAAACAAAUGUAGAUUAGAUUCCUCUGGAAAUUUCGUUAAACCAGUCAGUAAAUUCUUGCAUCUGUUUUAUUGCUUAAACCAGUGAGAGGUUUUCUUUCACAUGUAAUCAAGAGUCCCGACUGACAAGAGGUAGGUAGCAAGACGGAGGCAAAGUUAUUAAUACUGAUAAGGUAGGUUGCAGCCAGACAAGAGAGGGCUUGAAUGCUUUCCCUAGGAUGGAUUUUUGAAUUUUAUUCUAGAGACACUGAUCCCUCCUUAUAUUCCCCAUCAUCUAGAACAUAUUAUCUUCAAAAUACCUUUGCCCUUUUUAAUGAUUUCAUUGUCCUCUCAGUCACCAAGAUCAAACCAUGUCCAUCUUUGACUCCUCCCUCUUUCACUGUAUUUAAUUAUUUACCAAGACCUGUUGAUAAUCCCCCGUUUUUCUGCUCAGUCCUCUCUCACUGCUUGAACAUUUCCCAUGGUUCAGUUCACAGCUUCUCCUUUCUCCCACAUUCUCUCCAAGAAAAGAAAAAAUGUACUGGAUAUGUCUUUUUUUUGAGACAGAUUUUUUGAGACAGAGUCUUGCUCUGUUGCCCAGCUGGAGUACAGUGGCAUGAUCUCAGCUCACUGAAACCUCUGCCUCCCGGGUUCAAGCAAUUCUUGUGCCUCAGCCUUCCAAGUAGCUGUGAUUACAGACUCCCACCACCACACCAGCUAAUUUUUGUAUUUUUAGUAGAGAUGGGGUUCCACCAUGUUGGCCAGGCUGGUCUUGAACUCCUGGCCUCAAGUGAUCCACCCACCUCAGCCACCCAAAGUGCUGGGAUUAACAGGCGCGAGCCACUGUACCCAGCCUGUAUUGGAUAUUUCCAAUAGCUUUUCCAACUUCCAGAUCCCACAUUUCCAUAAAACAAAAAUCCUGCCUCAUAAUUUCAUAGCUCCUAAAUUUAUAUUCCAUAGCCUUAAACAUAAUUUCAGAUAUUCUGUUCACCCUUUCUUGUGAACCUUGCUAUCAUUUAAACUGAGUAUUUCCAACUCCUCUGUCAACUGAUUUCCCCCAGUUGGUAGGCAACGUAUCAUAGUGGUUAAGAGUACAAAAUUAGGAUCUUAACUGCCUGGAUUUAAAUCAUAGCUUCACCACUAAUAUUCUGCAUGACUUUAAGCAAGUUAUUUCUCUGUUCUUUAAUUUCGUCAUCUUUAAAAUGGGAUAAUUACAAUCCUAUCUCAUAGCUUAACCGAGACAGUGUGUGUGUCUGUGUGUGUGUAAUUUUAUCUGGUACAUAAGAAAUCCCAUAGAAAUGUUGGCUAUUCUUGUCAAUGAUGUUCCUUUUUGGGUAAUUUUCAUGUCUCUUUUGCUCUAAUUCUUGCCCUAACUCCUAUGUCCCAUCAGUCACAAAGUCAUAUCUGUUCUUUCAUAGUAACUCAUCCAUUCAUUGACAUUCCUAGUUUUACUACCAUACUUUAAGGUGAAUUGGAGAACAGGAAGCUUUAAGAUAUGCUUAAUAGAGAAUAUAAGGUUAAGUAUUUUUUUAAAGCUUGCAUAGUUUAUUCAGUUACUCAUAUUCUUUCUAAUCCCUUUAAAAUGGAACUACAAAACCCUGCCUCAUAGUUGAGGUAGUAUUAUAGACUUUGUGGUCAA